rnacentral:rRNA from 1 species
CCCGGCGACCGGCGCACGGGUGAGUAACACGUAUGAAACCUGCCCGUAGCAGGGGGAUAAGCGGAAGAAAUUCCGUCUAAUAACGCGUAACAACCCAUGGAGGCAUCUCUGUGGGUUUAAAGGAAGCGAUUCCGGCUACGGAUGGUCAUGCGUCGCAUUAGCUUGUUGGCGGGGUAACGGCCCACCAAGGCGACGAUGCGUAGGGGUUCUGAGAGGAAGGUCCCCCACACUGGUACUGAGACACGGACCAGACUCCUACGGAAGGCAGCAG